GCCUAUGGCUAUGCCACACCUGAUCUUAUGAAGUUAAGCAGGGUUGGGCCCAGUUAGCAGUAGGAUGGGAGACUGCCUGGGAAUACCAGGUGCUGUAGGCU
rnacentral:rRNA from 1 species